rnacentral:rRNA from 1 species
UACGUAGGUGGCAAGCGUUGUCCGGAUUUAUUGGGUUUAAAGGGUGCGUAGGCGGUCCUAUAAGUCAGUGCUGAAAUAUCCCGGCUUAACCGGGAGGGUGGCAUUGAUACUGCAGGACUUGAGUAAAGUUGAGGUUGGCGGAAUUGACGGUGUAGCGGUGAAAUGCUUAGAUAUCGUCAAGAACACCUAUUGCGAAGGCAGCUGGCUACACGAAUAUUGACACUGAUGCACGAAAGCGUGGGGAUCAAACAGG